AUGUAAACGCUGUUUUGAGUCCCUCAACGCACAUAAUAGUUUCCUAGGCCACUGUUUAGAGGUAGAGGAAAAAAUUGGAUAUAUGGAAAUGGAGGUUAAAGAUAAUGAAUGUGACGAAAUCUCCGUUACGUCUCGAGGCAUUGACAAAAAAUUUGAGGAAAAACAGCAAGGGAGUAAUUUAAAGGAGAAAAUCCACAGCGGAACGCAAAAUGUAGAAGAAACGAGGACCAGGGGCAUUUCCUGUUUAUUUUGACGGCUCGCCAUGCGGUGCACUAUUGCGCCGGGGAACCCUUGUCGUGCGAGGUCGAGUUGGAUCUCACUUAGCGAAACACCCGCAGAUUUCCCGAAAAAUCUUCUAAUUAGAAGACACUGGUUUAGAAGCUUAGGAAUUCCAUAUACAGAAACAAUAUACCUAUGUAUGCUCUGAUCACUUUUGUAAUAAAAUGCAAGAUAAUAUUCUUAGGACAAGGCAUAAGUUAACAAAAAAUAUUUUAUUU